UGCCUGUACAGAGACCAAUGGGGAAACCAAAUCGCAUAAGGAGCUCAUUGUCACUUUGCAGUACAUACCAUGAAUGAAGCCACGGAAGCGAACACAGGGUAGCUCCUUAAGCUGUCGAUGUCGGUUUUCCUGGGUUUCUACCGCCACAGAAUUCUGUUCUGCUGAGCAAGACAGGAAGUCCUCUGAGCUGAGAAAACUUCAAGAAGAGAAAUUUUCACUGGAAUAAAUUCGACAGAAAACAGUAUCCAUUUAAGGAAAUACCCGCAAAGAAAAUGCUGUCUUUCCCCUCCUAUUGGAUGGGUCAUUCAUCUCUAAUGCAAAGGUCCUUUCUCCCCGCGGCGACAGGAACGACAAGGACACUAAGUCGGGUUCACUCAACAGCUUCUUCAGGCUUUUUCCCUUACAGCUCUCUUCCCCACUCACAACAGCUUCUCUUACAACAGCUUCUCUUUCUACUACUAGCUUCUACUUAGGGCAAGGGCUAAACUCCUAUUACAACAACUUCUCUUACUACCACUUCUAAUCACGGCAAGGGCUAAAACUAUAUUCGGGCCAACUUACCUCCUUCUAGCUCCACCCCACCUCAUCCAAUCAGAAUUCAUAUACGCUCCAGGCACGAGCUCGAGCUCAGGUCGUUCACAGAAAAGCUGACAGAUCCCGAUCAAGAGGAACAGUCCAGCCUGGCAGGCAGUCCACGCAUGCAGCCUCACUGCGCAUGCUCCCGCAAGGCAGUCAACAAGUGGGUUUCACAGGGCCUGCGGGGCGCAACCACUUCCCGCACUCCUGCCUGCGCUUUCCAGGAUUGGACAUACAGCCACGCACCACCGCACCUGGCUCCGUUGAACUUUCUA
rnacentral:lncRNA from 1 species